GCUCAGUAACACGUGGACAACGUACCCUAAAGUGGAGCAUAAUCUCGGGAAACUGAGGAUAAUUCUCCAUAGACCAUGAGAUCUGGAAUGACUUAUGGUUCAAAGUUCCGGCGCUUUAGGAUCGGUCUGCGGCCUACCAGGCAGUAGUGGGUGUAACGUACCCCCUAGCCGUUGACGGGUAUGGGCCUUGAGAGAGGGAGCCCAGAGUUGGAUUCUGAGACACGAAUCCAGGCCCUACGGGGCGCAGCAGUCGCGAAAACUUCACAAUGGGCGAAAGCCCAAUGAGGGAAUUCCUAGUGCUAGCACUUUUGUGCUAGCUUUUCUUCAGCGUAGAUAACUGGAGGAAUAAGGGCUGGGUAAGACGGGUGCCAGCCGCCGCGGUAAUACCCGCAGCCCGAGUGGUGGUCGAUUUUAUUGAGUCUAAAACGUUCGUAGCCGGUCUAAUAAAUCCUUGGGUAAAUCGGAAGGCUUAACUUUCCGAAUUCCGAGGAGACUGUUAGGCUUGGGAUCGGGAGAGGUAAGAGGUACUUCAGGGGUAGGGGUAAAAUCCUGUAAUCCUUGGAGGACCACCGGUGGCGAAGGCGUCUUACUAGAACGAAUCCGACGGUGAGGGACGAAGCCCUAGGUCGCAAACGGGAUUAGAUACCCCGGUAGUCUAGGGUGUAAACGCUGCAGACUUGGUGUUGGGGGCCCUUCGGGGGCAUUCAGUGCCGGAGAGAAGUUGUUAAGUCUGCUACUUGGGGAGUACGUC
rnacentral:rRNA from 1 species